UACGUAGGGGGCGAGCGUUGUCCGGAUUUAUUGGGCGUAAAGAGCUCGUAGGCGGCUUGGCAAGUCGGGUGUGAAAACUCUAGGCUCAACCUGGAGACGCCACUCGAUACUGCCAUGGCUAGAGUCCGGUAGGGGACCACGGAAUUUCUGGUGUAGCGGUGAAAUGCGCAGAUAUCAGAAGGAACACCGGUGGCGAAGGCGGUGGUCUGGGCCGGAACUGACGCUGAGGAGCGAAAGCGUGGGGAGCGAACAGG
rnacentral:rRNA from 1 species